rnacentral:rRNA from 1 species
UGCCGCAGGGAAGCCGUUAAGCGCGCCGCCUGGGGAGUACGGCCGCAAGGCUGAAACUUAAAGGAAUUGGCGGGGAGCACCACCAGGCGUGAAGCCUGCGGUUUAAUUGGAGUCAACGCCGGGAAUCUUACCGGGAUCGACAGCAGAGUGAAGGCCAGAUUAAAGGUCUUGCUAGACGAGCU